GGCGGCAUGCCUUACACAUGCAAGUCGAACGGCAGCACGGACUUCGGUCUGGUGGCGAGUGGCGAACGGGUGAGUAAUACAUCGGAACGUGCCUAGUAGUGGGGGAUAACUACUCGAAAGAGUGGCUAAUACCGCAUGAGAUCUACGGAUGAAAGCAGGGGAUCGCAAGACCUUGUGCUACUAGAGCGGCUGAUGGCAGAUUAGGUAGUUGGUGGGAUAAAAGCUUACCAAGCCGACGAUCUGUAGCUGGUCUGAGAGGACGAUCAGCCACACUGGGACUGAGACACGGCCCAGACUCCUACGGGAGGCAGCAGUGGGGAAUUUUGGACAAUGGGCGCAAGCCUGAUCCAGCAAUGCCGCGUGCAGGAUGAAGGCCUUCGGGUUGUAAACUGCUUUUGUACGGAACGAAAAGCUUCGGGCUAAUACCUUGGAGUCAUGACGGUACCGUAAGAAUAAGCACCGGCUAACUACGUGCCAGCAGC
rnacentral:rRNA from 1 species